AUCUCUACUAAAAAUACAAAAAGUAGCUGUCAUGGUGGCGGGCGCCUGUAAUCCCAGCUACUCAGGAGGCUGAGCCAAGAGAAUCGCUUGAACGCAGGAGGCAGAGGUUGCAGUGAGCCGCCAAGAUCGCGCCACUGAACUCCAGCCUGGGUGACAGAGCAAGAUUCAGUCUCAAGAAAAGAAAAAAAAAAGAGAGAAAGAAAGAGAGAAAGAGAGAAAGGGAAAGAAAGAAAGAAAGAAAGAAAGAAAGAAAGAAAGAAAGAAAGAAAGAAAGAAAAAGAAAGAAAAAGAAAAUACAAGAGCGCCUAUUUCUCUUCAGCCUUCCCAACAAAAUAUGAUGUCAAAUUUUCUCGGCUUUUCUUGCUUAUUUAUUUUCCCAGAUGAAUGUCAAAAUCAACUUCAAUAUUUCCAGAAAAUAAUGGUUAUGUUUACUGAAAUAGCAUUAAAAACAGAUUAAGAAUGUUGGCUGAAAUGAAAAUUAAUGAUGAAGUUUGAAAAUAAUCAAAUAAAUCUUUCAGAAAAAAAUGGACAAAAAGAAAAUUUGAGAGAGAAAAAAUUAGACAUUUAAGGACUCAGAAAAAUGUAUAUCUGAUGCACACACCUUUCUGAGAGGGUUACUUGGAGGAUGUUCUCUAUCAAAAUGAGGAAAUAAACCAAGGAAUAGUGAAAGAUAAGGAAGUCAGUGGCUGCAGCAGGCCUCAGCAGGCCUUAUGGUUCUUAGAUGUGGCUGUACAUUAAAAUUGACUGGGGAAACUUAUUAAGCAUAUGACUAUAUCCCUCCACUUCACCCUCCCCAUCUCCAAAUUCUGAUUUAAUUUCUCUGGAGUGGAGCCCAGGUAUUAGUGUUUCUUCGAGGUUUCCCAGGUAAUUCUAUUGAGCAGCAAAGGUGAGAAACACCAAAUUAUGAAGAAAAGUAUCUUUCUAUAUACAGACUUUUAGUCAUUAUGGAUGGAACAAUCAUUUGCUGCUUUUAUUGUGUUUUUCAGCCAGAUCUGCAGGUCAGAACUUUAAACCACAGGUGAAUUCCAUGUAUGAUACAGAGUAUUUAUGUAUUAACUACUAG
rnacentral:lncRNA from 1 species